ensembl:misc_RNA Y_RNA Y RNA
GGCUGGUCUGAGUGCAGUGGUGUUUACAACUAAUUGAUCACAACCAGUUACAGAUCUCUUUGUUCCUUCCAGUUCCACUGCUUCACUUGACUAGCCUAAA